rnacentral:rRNA from 1 species
GACGAACGCUGGCGGCGUGCUUAACACAUGCAAGUCGAACGGUGAAGCGCUUACCUUUUUGGUGGGUGUGGAUGAGUGGCGAACGGGUGAGUAACACGUGAGUAACCUGCCCUCUUCUUCUGGAUAACCUCAUGAAAGUGUGGCUAAUACGGGGUAUUCCGGGUCUGUCGCAUGGCGGGUUUGGGAAAGAUUGUGCCUUUGGGUGUUUUCGGUGGGGGAUGGGCUCGCGGCCUAUCAGCUUGUUGGUGGGGUGAUGGCCUACCAGGGCGGUGACGGGUAGUCGGCGUGAGAGGGUGGACGGCCACACUGGGACUGAGACACGGACCAGACUCCUGCGGGAGGCAGCAGUGGGGAAUAUUGCAGAAAGGGCGCAAGCCUGAUGCAGCGACGCCGCGUGAGGGAUGGAGGCCUUCGGGUGGUGAACCUCUUUCGACAGUGAAGCAGGCCUGCUCCUGUGUGGGUGGGUUGACGGUAGCUGGAUAAGAAGCGCCGGCUAACUACGUG